GGAUUAUUUUAUGUCAUUCGCAGCGGAGAACAAUAUAACCUUGACGCGCGCGGAAGAAUAAUAGGUCUUUCGGGAAAUCUGCGUCUAGUUUAUUCCAACACUUAUUCACAUUUCUCGUCCAUAUACGCAGGAUUCUGUUUUAAUAUACAUAUACAUACGUACCGGUUGACCUCCUCCUGCUCCUCUCCCGGCCCACAUCGCAUCUCUCUCCUACCGUGCCCCACCGC